UCCCGCUUCUGGCGGGCAGUUGCGUAUGACACGUAAAACAUACGCCGAGGGUUGCGCUCGUUGCGGGACUUAACCCAACAUCUCACGACACGAGCUGACGACAGCCAUGCAGCACCUGUGCUGCCUCCCUUGCGGGUCGGUUAGGUUUCCCUUCCCUACCAGCAGCAUGUCAAACCCAGGUAAGGUUCUUCGCGUCGCAUCGAAUUAAACCACACGCUCCGCUGCUUGUGCGGGUCCCCGUCAAUUCCUUUGAGUUUUAGCCUUGCGGCCGUACUCCCCAGGCGGUGUGCUUAUCGCGUUGGCUGAGGCGCGCACGGUUUUACCCGCACACACCGAGCACACAUCGUUUACGGCGUGGACUAC
rnacentral:misc_RNA from 1 species